CCGCGUGUGUGAAGAAGGCCUGAGGGUUGUAAAGCACUUUCAAUUGGGAGGAAAAAAGUAAGGCCAAUACCCUUGCUCUUGACAUUACCUUUAGAAGAAGCACCGGCUAACUCCGUGCCAGCAGCCGCGGUAAUACGGAGGGUGCAAGCGUUAAUCGGAAUUACUGGGCGUAAAGCGUGCGUAGGCGGUUAUUUAAGUCAGAUGUGAAAGCCCUGGGCUUAACCUGGGAACUGCAUUUGAUACUGGGUAACUAGAGUUUAAUAGAGGAGAGUGGAAUUUCAGGUGUAGCGGUGAAAUGCGUAGAGAUCUGAAGGAACACCAGUGGCGAAGGCGGCUCUCUGGAUUAAAACUGACGCUGAGGUACGAAAGCGUGGGUAGCAAACAGGAUUAGAUACCCUGGUAGUCCACGCCGUAAACGAUGUCAACUAGCCGUUGGGUCUUUUAAAAGACUUAGUGGUGCAGCUAACGCAUUAAGUAGACCGCCUGGGGAGU
rnacentral:rRNA from 1 species